AUAAAGAGACAUAACACUUCAGUAACAUGUUACAUUUGCUUUUUGCUGGUGCCAGCUGCUGCAGAAGGUGGUAGGGAGUGAGUGGAGGCUGGAACAGGAGAUUUUGGGAAGCUGUUGCCAUAAAUCCAGGCCACACCUUAUCUUAAUUUCCUUCAACUUUAGAGACAGAAAGAGAAACAAAGAGAGACAAAGAGCUAAAGAGAAAGGAAGCAGUGUAAGAAAUCUCAUACACAGAGUGACCCCAGGUAUGGAUAUAGGGCUGCAAGAUUUCUCAGUUCCUGCCCAUUUCUUCCUCACCAAAAGGUGUUUCUAAUUAUUUCCAUUCAGGCUCGAAACUGAUGUUUUCUGUGCUCACCAAAUCCACUGAGGGGGAAUGUUUCCAUCCAAAGAAAGCCCAUAGGGGAAAUUAACUUUUCCAAGGAAACAGCAGGGAGGGAACCUGCACCUUAGCCAGCACCCUCUCAGCAGAAGGAAGAGCUUCUGAGCCUGCUUCCCAGGCCACCACUCCCAUUCCUGGAUGUGAAGUUGUUUCCCAGACCACCAACAAAAUUCUUCCAGCGACGGCGGCCCAGCUCCACAGAGCAAAACUGAACCAGCAAACUGGGGAUGCCCAGACAUCAGUCACAGAAACACCGAUGGCAAGAGAGCUCUGGAGAUCCAGCCCAAGCUCCCCUCACACUGUGAGCCCUCCACAGGGCACAGGACAGUCCUGAUCCGAGGGGAUUCCUGUUUUCCCAGGCUCAGUGGAAGUGCAGGGGUCAGGAGGAGGCUGUUUUUCGUGCCAGGAUGUCCUGAUUAAGUCAAGCACUGCUGAUGGCAUCUUAAAAGCGCUGAAGAGGGGUAAAUCAUCUCCCAGAACCGGGAGUUCUGGGGGGAAAUUACCAAAGAACGCACUUGUUAGGAGUCAGAAUCGGCCAGGCACAUGCACAUCCCUCUGGCAGGAGCCCGUGGCCCCCAGGAAAGCGGAGUGGCCCCUCACGACACGGGCUC
rnacentral:lncRNA from 1 species